CAGCAGCCGCGGGAAUACGGAGGGUGCAAGCGUUAAUCGGAAUUACUGGGCGUAAAGCGCACGCAGGCGGUCUGUCAAGUCGGAUGUGAAAUCCCCGGGCUCAACCUGGGAACUGCAUUCGAAACUGGCAGGCUAGAGUCUUGUAGAGGGGGGUAGAAUUCCAGGUGUAGCGGUGAAAUGCGUAGAGAUCUGGAGGAAUACCGGUGGCGAAGGCGGCCCCCUGGACAAAGACUGACGCUCAGGUGCGAAAGCGUGGGGAGCAAACAGGAUUAGAUACCCGUGUAGUCCCUGUCCCUUAUAC
rnacentral:rRNA from 1 species